rnacentral:SRP_RNA from 1 species
GCCGGGCGCGGUGGCGGGCGCCUGUAGUCCCAGCUACUCAGGAGGCUGAGGCAGGAGAAUGGCGUGAACCCAGGAGGCGGAGCUUGCAGUGAGCCGAGAUCGCGCCACUGCACUCCAGCCUGGGUGACAGAGCUAGACUCUGUCUCAA